GGCAGCCAAAACAGACCUUAACUCUAGCUCUAAUGAAGGCCCUGCUGCCUGCUGCAGCUAAUGACAAUGCAUAAUAAAUUAGAGCUUCCCUAGAAAGGUGCAUCAGGGCUUGUGCUUCGGUAAAUGAUGAUCUAUAUGCACUAACUUACUAUUUCAGUCUUUAGGUCUGCCAAGCCAGGGACAUCCUGGGAAUAUGUUCUCACUAAAUAAUGGGCUCCUUCCUGCUCAGAGCGGCGCUGCUCACCUGGCUUCUCUCGAGGCACUGAAGCUCCUGCUGCUCCUGCUGGGCGAGGAGCUCCUCCACCUUCUUCUCCUCGGUGCCCUUGGGCCAGUCACCUCAGCUGAACCUCGCCGUGGGACAGCAGAGCCUGGUGGCAGUUGGGGCAGCCGGUCCUGCCAGCUGGAGAUGCCCACGUCCCUGUGCCUGGAGCACCACCCUGCAACAGCAGCACCUGGACGGGGCACGGGGCCAAGCAGCCCAUGUGUGGGAGCUUCGAGGGACCCCAUCCUGCCUGGUGGCCUGGCGCAAGUGAGCUGGGAUACAACUGAACAAGUUCUCCAUAUUGGUCCCGGAGAAGAUUCGACUGCAGCCUCCAG